rnacentral:rRNA from 1 species
AUUGAACGCUGGCGGCAGGCCUAACACAUGCAAGUCGAGCGGUAACAGAAAGAAGCUUGCUUCUUUGCUGACGAGCGGCGGACGGGUGAGUAAUGCUUGGGAACAUGCCUUGAGGUGGGGGACAACAGUUGGAAACGACUGCUAAUACCGCAUAAUGUCUACGGACCAAAGGGGGCUUCGGCUCUCGCCUUUAGAUUGGCCCAAGUGGGAUUAGCUAGUUGGUGAGGCAACGGCUCACCAAGGCGACGAUCCCUAGCUGGUUUGAGAGGAUGAUCAGCCACACUGGGACUGAGACACGGCCCAGACUCCUACGGGAGGCAGCAGUGGGGAAUAUUGCACAAUGGGCGCAAGCCUGAUGCAGCCAUGCCGCGUGUGUGAAGAAGGCCUUCGGGUUGUAAAGCACUUUCAGUCAGGAGGAAAGGUUAGUAGUUAAUACCUGCUAGCUGUGACGUUACUGACAGAAGAAGCACCGGCUAACUCCGUG